AGAGUUUGAUCAUGGCUCAGGAUAAACGCUGGCGGCGCCAUAAGACAUGCAAGUCGAACGGAAGCCGUUUUAAUGGAAGUGAAGAUUUAUUGGAACAGAAGUUAAAACAAUGACUUUAGUGGCGGACUGGUGAGUAACGCGUGAGCAACCUACCUGUUAGAGGGGAAUAACAGUGAGAAAUCAUUGCUAAUACCGCAUAAGCUAGCAAUGUUGCAUGACAUAGCUAGAAAAGGAGUAAUCCGCUAACAGAUGGGCUCGCGUCCGAUUAGCUAGUUGGUGGGGUAAAGGCUUACCAAGGCGACGAUCGGUAGCCGAGCUGAGAGGCUCUACGGCCACAUUGGGACUGAGAUACGGCCCAGACUCCUACGGGAGGCAGCAGUCGGGAAUAUUGCGCAAUGGAGGGAACUCUGACGCAGUGACGCCGCGUAUAGGAAGAAGGUUUUAGGAUUGUAAACUAUUUUAGACAGGGAAGAAAAAAGACUGUACCUGUAGAAUAAGCUCCGGCUAACUACGUGCCAGCAGCCGCGGUAAUACGUAGGGAGCAAGCGUUAUCCGGAAUUAUUGGGUGUAAAGGGUGCGUAGACGGGAAUUUAAGUUGGUUGUGAAAUCCCUUGGCUUAACUAAGGAACUGCAACCAAAACUGAAUUUCUUGAGUGCAGGAGAGGAAAGCGGAAUUCCUAGUGUAGCGGUGAAAUGCGUAGAUAUUAGGAGGAACACCAGUGGCGAAGGCGGCUUUCUGGACUGCAACUGACGUUGAGGCACGAAAGUGUGGGGAGCAAACAGGAUUAGAUACCCUGGUA
rnacentral:rRNA from 1 species